GAUCAGGUUUUCUGUGGUUUUCCUGUUCACUGUACUCUGAAGCGGGGCACAGGCGAAUGCCGGUACCGGGAUAAUAUGAAUGGUCACAGUCUCCAUUCAUUUGUCUAGAUUAGUUCGUAGAUUUAUAAUUAAUGUGAAGAUAACGUAUACGUAUAAUAUAAUGUUAAUGUUAUGGAAUAAAGAAAUAUUUUGAGGUAAAAUAAUGUGUAAAAAAAGUGUUUAAUUUUUUCAUUUUUUCAAAAUAUCUCCGAAUUGGCUGAACCGAUCGAAUUCAAAAACUAAUCAUCUCUUUAGUUUGAAUACCCGAAUCGAUCGCCACCAAAUUCGUCAAAAUCGGUUGAUGCGUUCGUGAGAUAUCGUUGUCGAAAAAAGUGUUUUUUUUUUUUUUUUUUUGUAAUAACUCCGAAAUGUUUUAUCAGAUCAAUUUUUUCGUUCCGAACGUUUUUAUACAGCUCAAAAAACUACAUCGAUCGCUGCCAACCACUUGAAAAUCCGUUGAUUCAUUCAAAAGUUACAGCAGUUUAAAAAUUAAAAAACUCGUGUUUCAUCGAACUUUGAUAAGAUUUCUGAGCUCGGAGAGCUCAAAAUGACACAUAAAUUAUAGGUGCUUAGGAUAAGCGGGAAGUUGCAAGGAUGGCCUUAAAGGUCAACCGUUUUCCUAUUUUUUUUAAUAGUAUCCUUAUUUAUUAGUCGUCAAGAGGGGAAUAUUAUAUUAAUAAUAUUAUAAUAUUGAACAUGUUUUUUGGGGAAAACCGAUCAGCAAAUAAUCGCCCACAAGUCCGAGUCAAAUGAUAAGCUAUCAAUUGUCGUUUUAUUUGAAUACAAAAUGAAUAGUUGUUUAGACUUCAUAUGAACUUUGCGUGGAGAUGAUAAUAAAUCGUAUAAAAACCGACCCAUUGUAGCGUAAAGCGCAUUCCAGUUUCAGGAGCCCCACGAAGAUGUUCGGGAAAAAAGUGGUUAUUGCUGUGCUCGUUACGCUCGAGAAAAACGCAUCUCUUCGAACGGUAGAGGAUGAACCGAGGCCGAUGAGUGAAGCGCUUCAAGCUGUAAAGGAUGCAUCGACACCGCUGAGUGAACGUUACCAGAUUUCUACAAGAUGUGAAGUUAGGAUCAAAAAUUAAUCGUCCUGCAAAUGAUAUCAUUUAAAAAUUCGAAGGAUUAAUUGAUGAUCGUUUUUCGCUGUUCGAUGUACAAAAAUUUGAUAUAGUAUAUAGUUAGUUGUAAAAAGUGCAAGUAGGUUAACGUAUUCUUAUAGUAACAAUACCUUUUGGCUCCUGUAACUCUACUUCGUUGAGCUCUGAGACGUUAUUUACCCCUCACAACUCUACAGGAUCGUUCCGAGACUAUAACAAAUUUUAGGCAGUCUGCCUAAUAAUUUUUUUUACGGUGUAGCAUUGAUAAUUUAAUUAAUAAAUGCGGCCGAACGAAUUUAUAUUGCCAAUAAUAAUUGUAUAUGACAAAUGAGAAUUGUAUUAUAAUAGAAAUAAAAUAAUAAUAGAACUUUGAUUACAUAUUAAAAUUUUUUGUAAAAUUAAAAUAUGUUCCUCACAAAAUUAUCUUAUUUCCUUAAUUAUAUCAAUAAAUAUUGGACAUAAAAUCACUACCCUAUAUGCACAAGAAAAGAAAAUAAACGAAAACAAAUUUUAUUUUGUGUUAAAUGGGGUCUUUUUAAUGUAUUCCGAUAACUUAUUACUAGGGCCAAGAAGUUGGCGUUUUUUCUUUAUUCAAAUUUGAGGUUAAACAUAUGAAUGCUCAUUUAAACAACUGCGAAAUUCCUGGCCCUACUUAUUACGUAUCACAAUUUAUUAAACUAAUAAAUUAAAUUAAUAGUCACUGCAAAUUAACCUUGUAAAACCAUAAAUACAAAACUGUUCUGACGAAAUUCAAUUUGACAAAAAAAAUCCUAUUUCCUUAAAUAAAUAAACUGGAGACUUAAUUGUCCUGAUACAUUUUUAAUAAUAUGGAUCAGUAACGAAAUAAUUAUAUGUGUCAUUUUAGAAGGUUUGUCAAAUAUGUCAGCGCACUCCACUACUGCGCAACGAAGCUCUCCCAACUACACCGUUUGGCUCUGAGAACAAUCCCGUUGAGCUCUGUGUGGCUAGUGUGAGUUUUCAUCGAAACUAAAUAACAUUUUGUUACUGUAACUCUACAACAAACAGUAAACUGUGUAUAACCAACAAAUAGUAACUUGAACAAUUUUUGGACCAUGGUGUGGUAAGAGAACACCCGCGUGAUGCUCACUAGCGCCGAAGAAGAGUUACGAACAAGCAAGAUACGGUAUUUUCCUUACAAUCAAGAUGACACAAUCGUAAACGACUUUAUAAUGAAGGAGGACAAGAUCGUGUCGGAAAGCAACUACACCGAAACAGUGCUUCAUAUCAUUAACAAAAAGACUGGAGAGUUAAGGAUAUAUAGUACAUCACUUCAAAUUCCUGGACUGGCCGGAAGGCCAAAUUACUGCAGUAGACAAGUUACUUGACUUUUGCUGGCUGUGAAUGAAGAAGAUAAUGAAUUUUUUGUGGUACCAGCGUAUCAUAACCGACAGUUACCAGGACCUAUUGUUGUUCAUGGAAGCAAAGGCAUCGGAAGGACUUCUAUAUUUUGAGCAAUAGAUACUCGUCUAUAUCAACUAGUAGCUAGUAGCUACGACGACCAUAUCAGUACGAUCAGUAGUGCUGAGAAUUAGACACCAGAGGUGUUCUAGCCAUGCAAAUCUCAACCAGUACACUUUUAUAUACACGGUCUUGCACUACUUUCUGAAUGCCAUUCGAUCAAACUAUGCAUUAUUUGUGAAAUUUCGUUCUCAUUUUACAACCAAAGAUAUGCUUUUGUUAAAUCAUCCAACGGUAAUUAAUCUAUUUAAGCAAAUUUAGUCAAUAAAAAAAAAUUCUAGUCAUUACCAA